rnacentral:rRNA from 1 species
UACGUAGGGGCCUAGCGUUGUCCGGAAUUAUUGGGCGUAAAGAGCUCGUAGGCGGUUCGGCAAGUCGGAUGUGAAAUCUCCACGCUUAACGUGGAGGGGCCAUUCGAAACUGCUGUGACUCGAGUCCGGUAGGGGAGUGUGGAAUUCCCGGUGUAGCGGUGAAAUGCGCAGAUAUCGGGAGGAACACCAGUAGCGAAGGCGGCACUCUGGGCCGGAACUGACGCUGAGGAGCGAAAGCCAGGGGAGCAAACGGG